rnacentral:rRNA from 1 species
CUUACGGGAGGCAGCAGUGGGGAAUAUUGCACAAUGGGGGAAACCCUGAUGCAGCGACGCCGCGUGAGUGAAGAAGCGUUUCGGCGCGUAAAGCUCUGUCAGCGGGGAAGAAACACGGUUCGCGAGAGCCGCGGACGGUACCCGACCAAGAAGCCCCGGCUAACUACGUGCCAGCAGCCGCGGUAAGACGUAGGGGGCAAGCGUUAUCCGGAAUGACUGGGCGUAAAGGUUGCGUAGGUGGUUUAGUAAGUUGGCGGUGUAAUUCCGGGGCUCAACCUCGGCGCUACCGCCAAAACUAUUAGACUAGAGUGCAGGAGGGGUAAGUGGAAUUCCUAGUGUAGCGGUGGAAUGCGUAGAUAUUAGGAGGAACAUCAGGGGCGAAGGCGACUUACUGGACUGUAACUGACACUGAGGCACGAAAGCGUGGGGAGCAAACAGGAUUAGAUACCCGAGUAGUC